CAGGAGAUGAAUUGAGAAGAGAGGCAAUCAAAAUAAACGAACCCUUCUUCCAGGCUGUCAUUGUGAACAGAGUGCUGAAGAAGGACAUCAGGGUGCAUUCCAUUUCAGAACAAAGUGGAUCAUUCAUCAGCCUCAGGGAGGAAAUCAGGAUUGGACUCAGCCUACUAUAUUGAUCCUGGAUGUGCUACUUGGAGCUUGCUAACCACAACACGUGACGUGACGCUUGCCAAGUGUGCUUUGCUACUCCCCUGGAUGCUGUCAGAAGUGUCAGCCGUGUUCUACUCUGAAGCAGUUCUGCAUGCUCCAUGGAAACAGGUGCAACCCACACGUGAGAUGGUGAAGCUUCCGGCCCCUCAUAUUUCAGAUGCUGAAGGAAAGAUUCAGACAAGAAAAGCGUCUUGGUCAAGAUCUGAAGUAUGAACUGUGUGAAAAAUGGAAUUCAGUUUUCCCAACCUUCUCAUUGGCCAAUGUGAAAGUGAGCAACAGGAAAAGAACAACUUGAGGAUCAAAUUCAGGCUGGGGAGAAUAGUGAUAACCCUAACCUUUUCUCAUCAGAGGAUACCCCAGGGAUGUUGGUCCAGAGCUCUGAUAUCGGGAGUGACAUCAAAGGUGACAAGAGGAAAGAACUGUGGAAAUUCUUGAGCCUGGAAAAGCAUACUGGAUAAUACAACGCCAUGAUUGGGGCUGGGAUUGGGGGACAUUUUUCGUGGAAGUAAUUAAGUUGAUUUUUUCAUUAAUAACCAAAAACCAAAAGACAAUGCCAGAGGCAGGAUUCUCUAUUACUCAAACAUGCAUUUAUUGACCAAAUGUUAGCAAUGGUAAUUGCUGUAGCUGUCCUUUGUUUACCCCUAACUCUAUUCCUUUUUUUUGGGGUACCGGGGAUCUAACUCCGGUCCUUGCCAGCUCCUUGCGCUUGCACAGCAGGUGGCGAAACCACUGAGCUAAAUCCCCCCGGCCCCCCUAACUCUAUUCUUGCCAUUCUAUUUCUUCGGAGGAGUAAAUUGAAGUUUAGAGAAGUUAUUUGUCCCAAGCCGCACAGAUAGCACUGCAGAAGUAGGAUUCAACACAGAUGUGUGGAACUCCUAUUUUUUGCUCUCUGUGCUGCAUGUUGGACAUACACAGAAGGAUGCUUGGCUCAGAGCCUCUAGUCCAGGGGGAGGAUGGUGAGGAGAAAAGGUUUCCAGUGUGGCGUUCAGAAGCCCUGACGAGUGCUGCUGAGAAAAUGGAGGCACUGUUUAGAGUGCUUGUUGGUGGAAGAAGCUUUAGGAGCAUUUUCCCAGAGGACUGCGGGUGAGUGAACACUUGAAGAAUGAGGAUUAGGCAGAGGAUGGCAGAAUGAGGCCAGUGAGGAACAGGCUUGGGUGCACUGAGAACAUCUGAGGAGUCCCAGAGAGCCAGAACCCAGGAACAAGGGUCCUUUGUCUAGCUGCAGUGCUGUGCCUGAAGCCAGGGAACUGCUCCUUUUGGGAAGGGGCUGGGCAUGUACAGCUCUCUGUCUAGGUGGGCACAGGGCAGACAGUCACCUUGAAUUAAAUGGACACAGGGAGCACAGCUGACUAGGAGUGACCAGGAAGCCUUCUGACCCUCUUCGUCCUGAACUAUCUGGAAGCCAGAAUACGGUACAGACAGGUUCAGAGAAAGGGGGCAAAUAAAGUGCAUCCUCAUUGUCCAGUAA